AUUGAACGCUGGCGGCAUGCCUUACACAUGCAAGUCGAACGGCAGCGCGGACUUCGGUCUGGCGGCGAGUGGCGAACGGGUGAGUAAUACAUCGGAACGUACCCUGUUGUGGGGGAUAACUAGUCGAAAGAUUAGCUAAUACCGCAUACGACCUGAGGGUGAAAGUGGGGGACCGCAAGGCCUCACGCAGCAGGAGCGGCCGAUGUCUGAUUAGCUAGUUGGUGGGGUAAAGGCCCACCAAGGCGACGAUCAGUAGCUGGUCUGAGAGGACGAUCAGCCACACUGGGACUGAGACACGGCCCAGACUCCUACGGGAGGCAGCAGUGGGGAAUUUUGGACAAUGGGGGCAACCCUGAUCCAGCAAUGCCGGGUGUGUCAAGAAGGCCUUCGGGUUGUAAAGCACUUUUGUCCGGAAAGAAAUCGCGCUGGUUAAUACCUGGCGUGGAUGACGGUACCGGAAGAAUAAGCACCGGCUAACUACGUGCCAGCCGCCGCCGUAA
rnacentral:rRNA from 1 species